CAAGUUGUGGAAGGCUACACAUGCAGUCGAGCGGCAGCGGGAGGUAUCUUGCUACUUUUGCCGGCGAGCGGCGGACGGGUGAGUAAUGCCUGGGAAAUUGCCCAGUCGAGGGGGAUAACAGUUGGAAACGACUGCUAAUACCGCAUACGCCCUACGGGGGAAAGCAGGGGACCUUCGGGCCUUGCGCGAUUGGAUAUGCCCGGGUGGGAUUAGCUAUUUGGAGAGGUAAUGGCUCCCCAAGGCGACGAUCCCUAUCUGGUCUGAAAGGAUGAUCAGCCACACUGGAACUGAGACACGGUCCAGACUCCUACGGGAGGCAGCAGUGGGGAAUAUUGCACAAUGGGGGAAACCCUGAUGCAGCCAUGCCGCGUGCGUGAAGAAGGCCUUCGGGUUGUAAAGCACUUUCACCGAGGAGGAAAGGUCACUAGCUAAUAUCUGCUGGCUGGGACGUUACUCGCACAAGAAGCACCGGCUAACUCCGUGCCAGCAGCCGCGGUAAUACGGAGGGUGCAAGGGUUAAUCGGAAUUACUGGGCGUGAAGCGCACGCAGGCGGUUGGAUAAGUUAGAUGUGAAAGCCCCGGGCUCAACCUGGGAAUUGCAUUUAAAACUGUCCAGCUAGAGUCUUGUAGAGGGGGGUAGAAUUCCAGGUGUAGCGGUGAAAUGCGUAUAGAUCUGGAGGAAUACCGGCGGCGAAGGCGGCCCCCUGUACAAAGACUGACGCUCAGGUGCGAGAGCGUGGGGAGCAAACAGGAUUAGAUACCCUGGUAGUCCACGCCGUAAACGAUGUCGAUUUGGAGGCUGUGUCCUUGAGACGUGGCUUCCUGAUCUAACAGAA
rnacentral:rRNA from 1 species